GAUGAACGCUAGCGAUAGGCCUAACACAUGCAAGUCGAGGGGCAGCAUAGAGUAGCAAUACUUUGAUGGCGACCGGCGCACGGGUGAGUAACACGUAUGCAACCUACCUACAUCAGGGGAAUAACCCGGAGAAAUUCGGACUAAUACCGCAUAAUACAGGGAUGCCGCAUGGCAAUAUUUGUUAAAGAUUUAUCGGAUGUAGAUGGGCAUGCGUUCCAUUAGCUGGUUGGUAAGGUAACGGCUUACCAAGGCAACGAUGGAUAGGGGAACUGAGAGGUUUGGCCCCCACACUGGAACUGAGACACGGACCAGACUCCUACGGGAGGCAGCAGUGAGGAAUAUUGGUCAGUGGACGAGAGUCUGAACCAGCCAAAUCGCGUGAAGGAAGACUGCCCUACGGGUUGUAAACUUCUUUUGUACAGGAAUAAAAGACAUUACGUGUAAUGUAUUGCAUGUACUGUACGAAUAAGCAUCGGCUAACUCCGUGCCAGCAGCCGCGGUAA
rnacentral:rRNA from 1 species